AACGAACGCUGGCGGCAGGCUUAACACAUGCAAGUCGAGCGCAUCCUUCGGGGUGAGCGGCGGACGGGUGAGUAACGCGUGGGAACGUGCCCUCUUCUACGGAAUAGCCUCGGGAAACUGAGAGUAAUGCCGUAUACGCCCGCAAGGGGAAAGAUUUAUCGGAGGAGGAUCGGCCCGCGUUGGAUUAGGUAGUUGGUGGGGUAACGGCCUACCAAGCCGACGAUCCAUAGCUGGUUUGAGAGGAUGAUCAGCCACACUGGGACUGAGACACGGCCCAGACUCCUACGGGAGGCAGCAGUGGGGAAUCUCGGACAAUGGGGGCAACCCUGAUCCAGCCAUGCCGCGUGAUCGAUGAAGGCCUUAGGGUUGUAAAGAUCUUUCAGCUGGGAAGAUAAUGACGGUACCAGCAGAAGAAGCCCCGGCUAACUCCGUG
rnacentral:rRNA from 1 species